GAAAAGCCUUGAUCUAUCGGGAGUUGGAAUUAGAGAUGGAAGCAAGUUGUUACAGUCAAUGGGAUCAUUCCCAUCCCUCAACACUCUUCACCUUUUGUUGAAUAAUUUUAACAAUAUAGCGACAGCUACUCAAGGUAAGUAAAAGUUGGAGAUGUGACCAAAUUUAUAAAUAAGCUGUUAAUUAAUUAAUUAAUUAAUUUUUCCGUAUUAUUAAUUAAGCUAAAUUCCUUGCUCCUUCCUUCUAAAUCUAAACAGAGUUGCACACUUUCACCAACUUGGAAUAUUUGACAUUGGACCAUUCCUCCCUCCAUAUAAGCCUUCUGCAAAGCAUUGCGUCAAUAUUCCCUUCGUUAAAAGAUUUGUCGAUGUUUGAUUGCAAAGUCAACGGUCUUGUACGCGGUCAAGGUAAAAGAAAAGUGUCGAUUGUGAACUCACUCAGUGUUGUCCUACGUGUUCAACAUUUUUAUUUAUUUAUUUUAUUGUUUAAUGUUUCUGCUAGGUUUUCCUCAUUUCAAGAGUUUGGACCAUUUGGACAUGGUUUUCGCGCGCACUGCACUCAACACCAGCUUUCUUCAAAUCAUCCGUGAAUCAAUGCCUUCUCUUAAGUACUUAUCAAUGUCAGAUUCUACUCUUGGCACUAACAGCAGCAGGAUUCUUGAUCAAGGUUAAUAAUAUAAAUAUUUAAUUACACAAACGAAUCACUUAUUAUAAAAGAAUAAUACGCAUUCAUUAAUUUUUAUGUUGUAUUAAUUGAUGAAUUUAAUAAAAUUUCAGGCCUCUGUUCGUUGAUGCAUCUGCAAGAGUUGUACAUCGAUAAUAAUGAUUUGAGAGGUAGCUUGCCUUGGUGCUUGGCAAAUAUGACAUCCCUCCGAAUAUUAGAUGUUUCUUCCAAUCAACUUACUGGAAGCAUCUCCUCAUCUCCCCUCGUUCAUUUGACAUCCAUUGAAGAACUGAUGCUUUCAAACAAUCACUUCCAGAUCCCAAUUUCACUUGAACCACUUUUCAAUCACUCAAGACUCAAGAUUUUCGAUGCUGCGAACAACGAAAUAAAAGCUGAAAUAACUGAGUCACAUUCUUUGACCGCCCCAAACUUCCAAUUACAAGCUCUCUCAUUGUCUUCCGGUUAUGGAGAUGGUGUCACAUUCCCCAAAUUCCUUUACCAUCAACAUGACCUGGAGGAUGUUCGUCUCUCACACGUAAAUAUGGAUGGAGAAUUUCCAAACUGGUUGUUGGAAAACAACACAAAAUUGAGACAACUUUAUCUCGUCAAUGAUUCUCUUACAGGACCUUUCCGAUUGCCAAUCCAUUCACACAGAUGGUUAAGAUUCUUGGAUGUCUCCAACAACAACUUCCAAGGCCACAUUCCAGUGGAAAUUGGAGAUAUUUUACCAAGUUUAAUAUCCUUCAACAUUUCAAUGAAUGCUUUAGAUAGUAGCAUUCCCUCUUCAUUUGGUAAUAUGAAAUUCCUCCAAAUUCUGGACUUAUCCAACAAUCACUUGACUGGUGAAAUCCCCGAGCACUUGGCCGUGGGUUGCGUCAACUUGCAGGCUCUUGCAUUAUCAAACAACAACUUAAAAGGUCAUAUGUUCUCCAGAAACUUUAACCUGACAAACUUGAGAUCAUUACAAUUGGAAGGCAAUCACUCGUAGGUGAGAUCCCACAAAGUUUGUCUAAAUGCUCCUCACUAGAAGGAUUGUAUAUUAACAAUAAUAGUCUUUCGGGUAAGAUUCCACGAUGGUUGGGUAAUCUCACAUGGUUACAAUAUAUUAUAAUGCCCAAUAAUCAUCUUGAAGGCCUUAUUCCAGUGGAGUUUUGUCAGCUUGAUUCGCUUCAGAUUUUGGACAUUUCAGACAACAACAUAUCUGGAAGUUUACCAUCUUGUUUCCAUCCUCUCUCUAUUGAACAAGUUCAUCUUUCAAAAAAUAUGUUACAUGGACAGCUAAAAAGAGGUACAUUCUUUCAUUGCUCUUCCCUGGUGACAUUAGAUCUCAGCUAUAACCGUUUGAAUGGCAGCAUUCCGAAUUGGGUUGAUGGGCUUUCUUAGUUAAGCCACCUUAUCUUAGGUCACAAUAAUCUUGAAGGUGAAGUGCCAGUUCAAUUGUGCGAACUGAACCGAUUGCAAUUGUUAGAUCUUUCUAAUAAUAAUCUUCACGGUCCUAUUCCUCCUUGCUUUGAUAACACCACACUUCAUGAAAGUUACAGCAAUAGUUAUAGUCUUGAUGAGCAAUUUGAAAUAUUUGUUUCCAUCGAAGGCUCUUGGGGAUCGGUAGAAAAGUAAAUCCAUGAAAUUUUUGAGUUCACAAUAAAGAACAUUGCGUACAUUUACCAAGGAAAAGUUCUUAGCCUCCUAUCAGGACUUGAUCUUUCUUGCAACAAGCUAAUCGGUCAUAUUCCUCCUCAAAUUGGAAAUUUGACAAGGAUUCAAACAUUGAAUCUAUCACACAACAACUUGACAGGAUUGAUCCCAUCAACAUUUUCAAACUUGAAGCAUAUCGAAAGUUUGGAUCUUUCCUACAACAAAUUGAAUGGGAAAAUCCCUCAUCAACUUGUGGAGUUAAAGACAUUGGAGGUUUUCAGUGUGGCAUACAAUAACUUAUCAGGCGAAAUUCCAGAAUGGACAGCACAAUUUGCAACCUUCAAUGAGAGUAGCUAUGAGGGAAAUACUUUUCUUUGUGGAUUGCCAUUGCCAAUUUGUAGAUCACCAGCAACUAUGUCGGAGGCUUCAAUUGGCAAUGAACGAGAUGAUAAUUUAAUUGACAUAGACAGUUUCUUUAUCACAUUUACAACAUCGUACGUAGUUGUGAUAUUCGGAAUUGUUAUUGUUUUAUAUGUAAAUUCUUAUUGGCGACGUAAAUGGUUUUACUUUGUUGAAAUGUGGAUAACUUCAUGUUACUAUUUUGUUGUAGACAAUCUUAUUCCAACAAGAUUUUGUCAUUAAAAUUAAUUAGUAGUUUAAUUACGAUUCUUUAAGUUCUAAUCAAGUUUGCUUAGGAAAUAAAUUUAUUUUUAUUUUUUAUUAAAAUUGUAGUAGUAUUUAGCGUUACAUAGCUUCCAACUUCCAAGCACUUCACAUUUGUCUCUACACUUCCAAACCCAUAUCUAUCCACCAUAACUUAUACUUCCCUAUACUGUGCAGCCUACUUAAAUAAGAGAACCAUCUCCAAUGUUAAAACCAGCCACUCUAUAACAUUCAUUUAGAAACUAUAUUUAGAAUAGUUUUAUUAUCAUACACAAGAAAUGAAACACCUAGAUGCACUUGAUCGCCUAUUUUACUUUAAAAAACAAUAAUUAUCGUGCUAUCAUCAUCUUCUUCACUAGCAACAUUAACACCAAAUCCAGCGAUGGACCCAGACAUUUAAUCAAGAAAGGUAUAUAUAUAACAAAGUUGAAGCUUGACAAAAAAUUCAGGAAGAUUAAUGCCUCGGUAUAUAUAUAUAAUAAAGUUGAAGCUUGACAAAAAAUUCAGGAAGAUUAAUGCCUCGCCACAACAAGGGGCACAACAACAUCAAAGUAGAGAUGAAGCAAUAUUCUCAAAGCUAAAACUCUCAAAUCCACCCACCAGAAUUUCAUAUCUCCUCGACAAUUUUAAGAACUAAAGAUAAUUAGGAUUUAACAUUAGUUUUUUAUAUAUUAGUUUCAUAAUUUACAAAUCAAUGAAGAUGAAGAUUAUGCUAAUGAAUUCAAAUUAUACCAUACAUUCUAUAGAUGUUACCAAAAAUUUCUAAGUCAAUCCCACAUAUUUCAUAAUUUUAAGACUAGAAAAUUUCAUUAGUUAGAAGUUUCAUUACCUUCAAGUGGAAGAUGAAGAACAUUAUACAAGUGAUUCAGAUUAUAUCAUACAUACUCCAAAUGCAACUAGAAAUUAACAAGUUCAUGCGCACAGAUUUCAUAACAUUAUGAUUGGAAAGUUUCACAAAGAGAAAUUCUAAAUUCAAUCUCUUGCAUCAAGGUAGUUUGAUUGAUUUGAGUUACUUUCUGAUCAAGCUACUAAUAUAACAUUCAAGUUAGGGAGAAAGUAAAUUAAAACUGGGAAGAAAUAACAGUAAAAAUUUGUUGCUAAACAUGAUGUGUAUUUUUUUUAAGGCAAUUUGGAAACACAGUUGUUACUACAGAUAUUCUCCUCAACUUGGAGACAAAUACAAAUAUUAAAAUGCAUAUGAUCGCACAUACUACUUGGAGCUUAGUAAGAUUUCAUUAAAAGAAGCAAUCAAACCACUUAUCAAUUGUCGCAAUCGUUCUAUAAACUAAAAUAGCAAUAUAAUACAAGAAAAAGAACAUAUAGAUACUCGGCAAGAGUUCAUUAAGAAGUCGCAUCACAUUAGGGUGAGGAGUUUGCUUCUGAUAUCUUGCUAGCUGGGGCUUUUUCUUGUCUUUCUACGUAUGCCGAGGGAAACCAACCAGCUAGGCCCUUGCAUUCACCUUCCGACCAUCCAGUAGGAGCCACCUUGAGAAGUUAUAACUAAAACGGUGAAUUAAAAAAAAGUUGACAAUUCAAAGACCUAAGGGGAAAACUAAUUCUUUUACGUAGAGGAAGUGAACUAGUUGUGAUCACUGAAAUAAAAAAAUAACUAUGGAAGCAUAACAAGAUAUAAAUUCACAUGUCUAUAAGGGUAAACAGGGUGGUUUAGAACUGAGCUAGCAACCCUACUAUAUUCUGAUUUGCACUUCAAUGUAAAAGGGAAUAUAUGGUAGGAAGAAAAAAAACCAACCAUCAUUUGUUAACUUAUUGCUUUUCAAUCAAAAUUUUAAGAACAAAAUGCCAUGUGCUUUGAACAUCAAAUAAGUAUAAGCAUUAGUUCUAAAUUCCACAUAUUAUAAGUUGUUAGAAGGAUAAGUUAAUAGCAUAGUAGAAAAAUCUAUGUGUUGGUAUUUAGAGGGGAAAGUACCUGGCGAACCACAACAUAAUCAUCAAUUGAAAGACUUAGCUCUCCAUUUGCUUGAUCAUCAAAUGGAUGUAUAACCUGCAAGAUAAUGGGAUAAAUAGAACUUAAAAAAAGCAUAACAAAAGCAGCAACAGCAGCAGCAGCAUUCAUUGUAACCACUAUGAUCAUGGCCAACAAAGAUAUAUUAGAAACAAAAUUCCAUUUUUACUACGACUUUAAUAUGUACUAUACGAUAUCAUGACGAUUGGGUUAUCAAGUGCUAUCAAAGUCUAAUAAGUUCUGUAUAACUUUAUAUAGUUAUUUUAAUUAUGGAUCAAAUUUUAAAUUUGAAAUUUUGACUGCUCUCCACAAAAUAUGGCCUAUGCACAAGAAAGUCAUAGAUAAUGAGGAUUACAAGUGUCCGACAUCUUUUGAGUGAUGGAUUUAACAUGAGAGCUUAUGGUCAGUCAAUUUCCUCUGCCUAGCAAUAUAAGCUUUCUCGGCCAGAUUUAUCAUCAAAUACAUAGAUUGCCCCCAAGUCACAUCCAUAUAAACAUAGUUUUCUAGGUAAACCAAGUAAGGAGAAUCAUAAUUUAGACAUAAUCAUAAAAAGGCCCAUCUAACUUAAGAGAAAAUCUCAAAAAGAGGGAUGUUGAGCUAUCAGUCUUGUAUCUAUAAGCAAUAUCAAGACUUUACAUCACCUGCUACAUCGUGAGUGGCUACACAACUUUCAGUGGUUUGUCUUUCUUUGGCAUGCCUAACUCAGCUUUGAUGUUGCUGAGAUAUUGAUAGUAGAGACACAUGAUACUUCUAGCUCAUGCAUUUUAUCUAGCUCAUCCGACAACUAUUUCUUUUUUAAUUCAUUAGUGUUUGCUAAACCUCAUGCUCAAAAGUCCUGUUCUCCUAAACAAAGUUUCCUAAGAAUGACUUCCUCAACACAACAUUUGGACACUUUUAGAGCAAUUUUAUUUGGAGGAAAAGAAUUUUCAAGGUGUUAACUAAUAAAUUUUAAAAUAUAAUUACAAUUUGUCCUACGAUCAUAUGACAAUUUAUUUGGGAUGAAAGGAUACAGACAGACAUCUUCCACUUUCAAGACUAAUCACUACUUCCGUAGAUGUUGUGCAAUGAUACAAAUACUUGACCAGAUGGUAGUGAUGGUAGAAAAAAAUUUAUUGCUCCAAAAUUAAAAUAAGAAUGCAAUAUGUUAAGCAAAAGACUGUGCAACAUCAAAUUAAUUGAUGAGUUUGUAAUUCAGUAAAUUAACAACUUUCAUGGUAAAAUACAACAAGUUUCUUUUAAAAAAAAUAAAUCUUAAAAGACAGCAUUCAUUUUUGUGCGCAUGUUAUUUCUUAAGAUUUUUCAGGAGGAGGGCAAUAGAGGGACUUUCACCUAUGCAAGAGAGCAGAAGCCUUACUUUUGCUAUAAAGUAGACGUCAUUCUGAUUAAUAUGCGUUUGAAUCAGCUCCGUUUGCUAUAAAGUAGACGUCACACAUGAGGCAUUUACAUCCAUUUCCAAAGUCACAUGUUGCGAGGAGGACUCAUUUGAUUGCUCCUCUAGGAUCAUCUAAUGCAAGUAGUAAGGGUUGGAAGAAAAUAAAAAGUCACAAUUAUUCUUUUGCGUAAGUGAGACGAAAAUGAUAAAUGCAAUAUUAUCAGCAGUAAACAAGAAGAGAACGCUCCAAGGAAUAGAUAGAUGCAGACAAGCAAGUUAAAAUGCAUAGUCCCAAACCUCCGCAUACAACUUCUCUAAAAUAGCAAUAACGUGUUGAUGAUAUGUUUUCUCAGCAUCUACCUGCAAAGGCCCGAGACCAGGAAAACGGCAAUAAAACCACUAGCUAAAGGAGAAAGUAAAGAAAGAAAUACACUUGACAUAAAUCUUGACAAGAAGCACAGUUUAAACCCCAAUCAUAUUGUUUAGAACUACCAUUCGUUAUUGUAACAUUUCGAACAAGUGUUGACUUAAUUCAACAUUGUUGGAAAGAUAGGCUUUUAAAAGCGGAAGAAAGCCACUCAAACCAAAGUGAUUGUCCUUGUAUUGAUCAAGGGAUGUAAACAUAUUACAUUUGCAGGAUAAGUUUUAAUUAAUCACUCCCCUGAUUUAUUUGGGUUGCAGUUUAAUUUGUGAAUUUCGUUAUUGUAACAUUUCGAACAAGUGUUGACUUAAUUCAACAUUGAAAAAUUAUUCAAUAAAUUAUGCAAACAUUAAAAUAGAGGACAUAUUAAAAAGUUUCUAAUUACAAUGUUAAUAUUUCCUAUAUUUUAGCAUUUGCAUAUUUUAAUUUAUUUAAAAGCUACGUCGAUCAACUUUGGGCGUGAAGAUUUUAGCUUCUACGAGACUUGAUUGGAAUAUGCAUAAGGAAGAGUGUUAAAAUAUGAUGCAUCCAACGAAAGACAAACCACGUGUAGUCUUUUAAUUAAGCCAAAGUAGCAGCUCAAACAAAUGACACUUGGACCAACAUGCAAUCAUGAAGUGGCCGGAAAAAGGACAAAUGCAACUUUGGCUUAAAUAAAAAAUAACAUGUGACUUGACUUUUGCUGGACAUGCAUCAUGUUAUUACAAGACAACAGAAAUCAGUAUGAUAGUACUAAAAGUUGACAAUAACAUGAAGAUAAGAGGCAGAAUAUCAACACAUGCAUAGGCACACACAAGGAAGUAUUAACUUAUAUACCAUAGCAAAAAGUCUUUGAUAUGUCAUCUGUUGCUGCUGUGAUUCAACUGACAGCAUGGCAGUUGUCGCUUCUCUACCAAGAGCCAUUAUUGUAGAUUUAAGCUCGGUCAAUCUUGCUUCUGCAUUUCGAAGCUUCACAGCACUCUCUGCUGAUAUAUCAGAUUCCCUAAUCUUUGAUCGGCGCCUAAAUACUUCAGCUGCCUGGUGAAAAUAUUCAAUAUAAAUCUAACAUAAUUCUAAUCUUGCCUUAUACAUGCAUAUGUUAACUCAAAGCUUACCUGGGCUUCAACUUCAUGUCGAAGUUUGUCAUAACGAUGAGUCAGGUGUCGAGCAUCUUCCAAAGGUGCUCCGUUGAUUAACGCCCGUAGUGGCUCAGAUACCUACAUGUCCAAAAACCUGUAACAUAGUUAGAAAAAUGAAAAGAAAGAGCGAAACCUCAAUUAAAAAGUUCCUCCAACAUAAUCAUGGAAUUUGGGCCUACUUCAAGGACAUAUAUAAGGAUAAUUUAUGCAAUUUUGGGUCUUAGGAUGAUUGGCAUUAGGUUAGUGUUCUUCUCUUCUGUAUUUAAGGUUAAAAUAGAAAUAAACCUAUGAAAAUAUCUAAAUUAGGGCUGUAAGACUUCCACAUGCAUCCUUCAGUCUCAUGGAUUUGAUUUUACUAUAGAUGCAAGUGUCUUUAUCGAAAAUGCUUGGAGUCAAUUGAGAGAACUCACGGCCAAUAACUUGUCACACGCUAGUCUUUGCUAGUGAUGUAAGAAGUCACAAGGUCUCUUCAACAUUUGAACCCAUAAAAUUAUUAAGUCAUGGAUGUCACUAGCAAUGAUUUUAAUAUAAAACAUUAAAUAUUUCAGAGUUGUAACGUUAAAAUUCUUUUAUUCAAUAUCUUAGAACUAAGUUUCCUUAUGAGAAGAUAAUAGUUUCAGUAGUAAUUUACAUAUAAUUUUCUAUAUUUGAAUUAUUUUCUAGUUAGGGAUGAACUAACCUGAUCACCAAGAAUCCCAAGCAAAGUUUCCCUCUCAUUUUCCAUCAAAUCAUGUGAAGUGCCAAAUUGAAGAGCAGCUCUUGCAACGCAAGAAUUGUCACUUUGAUUCUCCGCUCCAUACUUGCAACAAUCUUCAGCCAACUUUCUCGCUACAAUAUUUGAAUACAAAAAUAUUGUGCACAAGAACUAGUCAAGAAAAAAAAAAUCAAAUAUUAUAACGAAUGCAAGAGCAAACAAACAACCUAUUUCCAUUUGUUUCAAGCUUACUGCAACAAGCCCUUCAAUGCCACGAACAAUAUUCCUCUGAAAAUGCUGCGCUACAGAGCAUAUAUUCCAAAUUAUUGUUCAGAUAAAACCAUAGAAACCAUCAUAAUUAUUCAACAUACAUUAAGCUCCGUUUGGUAAAUACUUGCAACUUCAGUCUAGAGAAUACAGUUCUAUAUAUGUAGCAGUCUAAAGGAGGAUGGUGCCUUAGCUGCCCUGGUGGAAUUGUAUAGAUUUUGAAGUUGUUGGUGACACUCAAUUUCAGCUUCAUCAACUGCCUGUACAAAUCAUAAAAAACUAAUGAAAAAAAUAAAUAAAAUCGAGAAAUUUCACUAAUUAAAAGUCUAAAUAUAAUUUUAAAAAAGAAAGAAACGCACUUGGUGCUGCUUGGCGACUUGUUCUCGGAGCUUGAUUGCCUGUUUCUUGAUAGCUUCCAUACUGUUUCUUUCAAAAAGCGGCGACGGCUCAGCUCAUGGAAGUUGGGGAAAAAAAAAAGUGUGAUCAAGAAAAUAAAAAGGCAUAUUAUUGUUGACAAAAUGUGAAAAUAAAAAAGAAAAAAGAAAAUUAUAAGUUUGAAAGGAGAAGAUGAUAGUGGAAGAGUGCGGCGUGGCUGCCAGCUACUUGGAUUGUAUUGUCGGGUAAGGUAAUUGUAGAAAAUUAUAAGUUUGAACAGAGCAUGUUAGACUUUUGUUGACCAAAUUCAAAAGGCAAAUGGUACGGCCCAGAAGCUUUGGAAUACAGUAACUUACAAGAAAGCUCCAUUUAUUCUUCUUAUACUUUACGCUUGCAUCAGCUUAAAUCACUUCUUAAUCGCUUGCUUUAACUGCGCCGCUUUGUACUGUUCUAUAUAUGUAGCAGUUAUGCGGAUGUAGUUCACGGCUGAGGGUACGUGUUUGUUUGACGUGGUAGUUACGUUACGACGUUACGAGAGUAUUAUUAGUUAUUUCACAGGGAUAAAUAAGAUUAGUCACAAUAAACCCACUAGUUUUAUAAAAUUCGAGUAAUAUAGAAUAAAAUAAAAAAUGAAUACAAAAUUGACUUUUAUUUUUUAUGGUUGACUAUAUUUUGUGUUCUCUUCUGGUACUACUACAAUUGUUCCCUGUAUAUCACUCAUACCCAUAUAUCAUUGACACAAGAAAUGAAAUCUAAUGUCAGAUGUUUAGUUAAAGAAUCACUUAUGAAAAAAUUUUACCAUUUUGAUUUGAGGAUCCCUAUUUUGAACUGCAAGCUAAUGUUCAUCAAGAACAGAGUAUGGCAGUUGAGUAGAAAAACUAUUUUUGGACAAAUUGUUUUUAUUGAUAGAAGAAUUUCUCAAGGGACUACUAAAAUUAUUAAAAAAAAAUGUCAAACACGCCCAUAUAUCAUCAACACAAUUGGUUUUGAGAAUCCAUACUUUAAACUGCCGCCUAAUAUUCAUCAAGAGCAGAGCAUGGCUUGUGAGUAGAAAAUUUUCUGAUUUUGGCCCCAAAUAAUCCAGCACUUUCUCAUGAAGAAAUGCAUACAAAGCAUACCAUGGUACCAUACAAUACAAGGAGUCUCCGUUCUCUAGUUUUUCAAACUCUAAAGGGGCCAAUACUCCCUAAUUCCCCCUCGAAAAUUCUGAUUAUGACAUUAUUCAUCCCUCGAUGCAAUCAAAGUAGUGACAAAGUUAGGAAAAAUAUGAGUCCUAAGUAAUUGCUAGGCAGGGCUCCUGUGAGCAAAAUUGUCCUAAGCAUUAUAUGCAUACAUGGUGUGGUACAUAAAGCACAAUGAAUUCCACACUAUAACACAAACCCAGAAAGAGAAGAAACAACUUAAUUGAUGUAAAGACAAAAAGAAGAUAAAAUGAUAUAGAAAAAAAAAUUCAAAGAGAUAGCAACAUACUAUAGACUGAAGCCACUUGAUCUGCUCAUUGAUUGCAGCCUUAAACUUGCAAAUAGUUACCGUAAGCUAGUGCUAUAAGAAGUGAAAAUGAUGCACACCCUGAUUCCCUUCGACUUCCAUUUACUGUCAAACAUUCUAUUAAUACAAAAAAAUUGUUCAAAUAUCUUGCCAUAAAUAUAGCCGUUUGACUGGCUUAAUAAAGUCACAAAUAACCAUUCAUAUUGAUCCACAGUGUCACACCGCCUGCUUUAUGCAUACAACAGCUGUAUGUAUACCAACUCCUAACCUUAUCAAUACAUUUGGCAAAAACUUAAGAAGAAAACUAUUUCUCCAUCUCUUUUUUGAAAUUUCACAAUAAACCAGCAUAUUGUAAACGUUAUGUUGUAACCUUAUGAUAAAUGCUCUAGACUCCAAAUGAAUUUUAUAUAUGAGGGUUUGUUGCAGCAGAUAUAUUGACUUAUCAAGUAUGAAUCAUUGUCUAGAAGAACUAUCUUUAGAUAAAAGAAUAUUAGAACCAUUCUAGAAUAUCUUUAGGUUGCUAGUUCUAACAGGAAUCUGCAUGUGGCAACAGUUGCCAGAUCCACAAUUCCCCAACUUGAAAUACAUAGUUGCACACCGUGAGAUAGUGCUGCAAUCUACUGAGAUCUAACUUAUAUGAUACUUUAAGCUACUAAUGUUUGCAUAUUUCUACAUGUUAAAUUGACACUACCAUCUAUAAUCACUCUAAAACGACAGAUGAUAAGCAGCUUUUGGCUACUUAUUACUAGCAUCCACAAUUAAUUUUUGUUCAGCAAUCAGCUUAUUUUAUAGAAAUUGAUUUAGUCAGCAACAAACACUAUAAUCCUUGAAAUUAGUUCUUGUUCUUUGUAAUUUUCUAUGAUUUUUCAUACAUCAAUUAAUCUGCAGUGCCAAGAUGAGGUUUGGUUUUUCAAACUAAAUAAUCAAGUAGCAAAAAUACAAAUUUAGAGAUUAGGGGGUGAACUAGCUAGGUGGUUUACAAAUAUUCCUAUUUGUAAGGUGAAUUAAUUGAAUCAUGAGAAAACAAUGUGACCAUAGCUCAAUAUGAGAUGAUUUCGGAGAGGCAUAUUGUUUUCAAGUGAAUUUGAUCCAUUAAGAGAUGAAGUGGAUUGAAGUGGAAAGUUUAAAUAACAAAUCCUUGUUCUUGAGUUUUACGACGUUGUUACUCCUUCAGGUGGCAGAUUAUGCAAGUGAAUUCAAAAACACAAUGCAUCAAUCACGGGGAUGCUACACCAAAAGACGGGAUCAUAGUCUAUGCAUUGAACAGUUACAGUUGCUGCUACCAAUUGACUCGGCAAAGAUCAAGAAGACUGAACGGGAAGUUAAUGCCAUCAAUGUCGUCUUCACUAUAGCUGCUGGGAAUGUAGGUGAACUUUCCUCAUUUGCGGCUGUCUAUACAUAGGCUUUUCCCCAGCUUAAGUACAAAUAAAUGAACCUGCUUUGAAGGCUUUAUUAUUGACCACAAUAAGGAUUACUAAUUGAAGAAGACUAUACGGAGUUAAUCCCACACUUUCGUUCUCUCAAUUUCUUUCAGAAGUGCCUCUGAAAAUAGCUGCCAAACCGUUAGUCAGCUUGUUAGACUCUGUUUUCUGGAAACAGAGCCCUAACUAACUGACUGUACAGAGUAAGUCAACAUAGCAUAUUUAAUCGUUUUAAUUGAAUUGUCUUCGUAGCGAUCAUCAACAAACUCAUCAUGAGAUUUUUGAAGCACCCAAGGACUAUCACUGGGUUUCUCUUCUGGUUGAUUAAUUAAUUAAUCAAAGAACGGUUGGAUACCCAAGGACAAUUAAAAUUAUUCGACUUCUGGAACUGGGAAUGAAGUGCAAUGAUGGAGCAAAAUUUACAAUGUCUCCGGUUUCUCCUACCAUCGGACUUUUGCAGUGAGAACAUAUAACAAAAAGGCCUUCAUCAAAAUUUGUAGACUCCGGGUAUGGAUUGGAUCGAUUUUUUUGUUUGAUAUUGAAGAACCUCUUUACUAUCGCGAUAUAGAUUAUGUGCAAGGAGUUGUCUACUGUUCUUUGCCUUGUGCUAUGAUCGGUGCUCUUGAGGCUGCCCUGAAACACAGGAAAAUACUUCGAUAUCCUCCGUUCGAUGAUGCAAAGAACCGGUUAAUGUAUGAUUACCUAAUUGACUCAGGAUCAGGUAACAACAACAACAAUUUAUUAAUAUCACAAACGAAGAAGAUCGCGGAGAGGGAGAUGUAUGCCUAUACUGUUUACAGGUUUGAUCCAUUGGGGAUGAAGUGGUCUCAAGUCGAAAGUGAUUUAUUAAACAACAAAUCAUUGUUCUUGGGUUAUACCUCAUGAUGUCAUCAAGUGGAAGAUUAAGAUUAUGCAAGACGAAGAUCGUUUGAUAUUGAAGAAUUUGAACAGAAAGCCCAUAGAAAGUACUUAAAAAAGCAUAUUCUUGUUGGGGUAGAAUAUUGAGAAAGGAGUUGUCUACUGUGUGUUGCGUGAUUAUGCUAUGAUCUGUGCUUUGAACAUUGCCCUGAAAACAGUGGAAAAUACUUCAUAUCCUCGACAUGAUGAUAAAAAAUUGGUUACCGAUUACGUAACUGACUCAGGUGACAACAAUCCAUUAAUAGCACAAUUUGAGGUGAUGCCGUUUAGGUAUAUGGUUAACAGGUUUGAUUCAUCAAUGAUGAAGUGGGCUUAAAUUAAAAGAUCAUAUAAUAAGUCGUUCUUCUUGGGCAUAUCGUCAUUACUACUUCAAGUGAUCAAAGAUGAAGAUGAAGAUGAAAAUUGUGCAAGUGAGUUCAAGAAUACCAUACAUCGUUACUUGGGAUACUUCUUCAAAUAUGGAUGGGGUCAUAAUUUACUCCCACGAAUUUCAACCCAAUUUUAUGAUUGGAGUGUCCCACCAUGACUCAGAAAAAUUUUGAUUCAACCUCCUCCACCAAUGGAUUUUGAUUAGUCACUUUGUGAUCAAGCAACUUAAUUAAACUCAGAGAGUCAGAGUUCGAUUUUGCUGGCACCGCAUUUUCUUUAAAAUGUGGCCAUGUAAGGAGAGCGGCACAUAAUGUCACUUCCUUAUCAAGCACUUUAAAGAGGGAUUUUAGAAGAAGAUACAACUGCAAUUGUUUUCGUAUGUAUAUAUAUAAACAACAGCACACAUUCAGUUCAUAAAAGAAAUUUUUGCUAACCAUGAUAUGUGGUAGUGCUUUUUAGGCAAUUUAGAAACAGAGUUGUUCAACUUACAGCAGGUAUUCUCCUCAAGUUCGACGUAAAUACAAAUAUUAAUUAGAAUCCAUAUUAUAAUGACACACAUAACUUGCUUCAAAAUUAUCAGAAAUUAAAAUUGCUGAUUCAUAAUGCAGAUAACUUGGAUGAAUUGAUGUUAAAGGAAAAAUCACAGGCAUAACUUGGAGAGCAAUUGCGACAGCAGCCAAGUAUAUAUUUUUAUUUGAGAGUUGAGAAGAAUAUAUUUAAUGAAGCUUGAUAACAUUUGAUGGGAUAGCAAGUAAGGGUAAAUAAGAUAUUUUUAUUUGUUAUUUAUUUGAAUUAUAUCUAUUUUGUUCAAGUUAAAAUACUAAAUAUAAAUUGGAGGUAGACAUUUUAACAGAUCAUCUAAGCUCUCAAAUCUGAAAUUUUGUGUAGAUUUAAAUUCAUAAUUUUAGUUAAUUUUCAUUCAUUCAUAUAAACAAAUUUAUGAGAUUUUUCUUUUCAGCAUGUUAUAUUUUGAAACUUUCAAUGUAUUAUUCUAGCUUUAUUUAAACAAUUAAUUUAUUUAAUUUUGAAUUUGAUCAGUAGUAAAAUUAUUUUUAUAUCAAAUUUUUUUUAUUUAAAUAGUUCGUGGAUUGGACAAAAUUAAAAAAUUUUAAUCUACAAAAUGGUGGAUUAGAUAUGAAUUGGGUUAAAUCCACAUUCGAUUUGCAGUCGUAUGAAUUUGAUUUGGAUUGAAUUUCAUCAAUCCAUGGAUUAGAUUGGAUUGAAAAUUUAUUAUCCGCAAAAUCGUGGAUCGAAUAUGGACUGAUGUCCAAUCAGCAAAAUCCGAUCCCCGAACACGCCUCUAUCAAAAUUUUCAAGAAUAUGUUUUAUCUUACAAAUUUUUUUUUAAAGUCAUAAUCUAAUGGCAGCCCAAUUUUAUAAAGUCACACACAACCAUUCUUAUUAAAUUAGAAAGAUCAAACACUGCACUGGAUCUUGAACAGAUCAACACAAGUUGCACAACUUGCGAUUGAAUCCGGCCUGAAACAAUCAACUCUUUAGCAAGAACAAUUAAUCAGAGUCAAGAAACAAGUUUAAUGAAUAUAAACCUAUAAUUGAAACAAACAUAGCAAAGAAAAAAAAUACAGAUUUUACACGGUUCAGUUGUACCUAGGAUGGCACAACCUACACCACGAGAGAAGCUUUCUGGUGAGAUUUUAUUGAUGAUCAAAGAAGAAUCUUUUGACAAAGCUAAUAAUAGAGAUUUCAGAGAAUAAGCUAUAACCUCUCUCCCUCUUCAAUCUCUCUCUAUUUUGUUCCCAUUGAUGACCCCAAUCUGCUUAGUUAGCCAGCUUUAUAGCUGCAUCAGUAACAAACCAGCAAACCCAGAUUGAGCAGAUUGACGACACGUGGAUAACGGCUUUAACGAACCUGGUUAAGAACUGCUCACAUGUUCGUCACGCGUACUGCUUAAAUGAUGGCCAAAACGACUUCAAACAAAUGUCGUUUUGAGGCUUAUGAAUUACAAGUGAUAACACGAGAUUGUCUCAUGACUUUUAAAUGCAACAACGUGCCCAAAACGCUGUCGUUUUACUCUGUUGAGUUUGAUUCAUUACUAAGCUUUACGACUGGCAAUGGAGAAGAUGAUAAUUUAAUUGAUAUGGACAGUUUUUAUAUCACUUUUACAAAAUCCUAUGCAAUUGUAAUAUUGGGAAUUAUUGAUGUUUUAUAUGUGAAUCCUCAUUGGCAAAAACUAGUGGUUUUAUCUUUGUUGAAAUGUAGAUUACCUCUCGUUACUAUUUUAUUAUAAACAUAUAGUUUCGUAAGUGAAACUAUAUAUUUAUAAUAAAANNNNNNNNNNNNNNNNNNNNNNNNNNNNNNNNNNNNNNNNNNNNNNNNNNNNNNNNNNNNNNNNNNNNNNNNNNNNNNNNNNNNNNNNNNNNNNNNNNNNCAUUUCUGCCUCAUUAAGAUUCUCAAAUACCAGUCAGGUUUGCUUAAGAAAUAAAAUUUUUCCAUUAAAAUUGCAGUAGUAUUUCCAAGCAUAUCGCAUUUUCUAUGAUUUUUCAUAAAUUAAUUAAUCUGCGGUGCCAAUAUCAGAUUUAGUUUUUCAAACUAAAUAAUCAAGAAAGCAAACAUACAAAUAUACAGUUUAGAGGGGUAAACUAGGCAGGUGGUUUAGAUUUUAGAACUAAGGCAGCUACCUCACUAAAUUCCGAUUCGUACAGUGAACUGCAAGAAAUUGAGAAAACAAUGUAUUUAUAAUUUAAUAGAAUCAUAACAGAUGAAGUGGAAUGAAGUUGAAAGUUUAAAUAACAAAUCCUUGUUCUUGAGUUUUUACGACGUCGUUACUCCUUCAAGUGGCAGAUUAUGCAAGUGAAUGCAGAAACACAAUGCAUCUUCCGCGGGAUGAUACAUCAAAAGGCGGGAUUUGUUUAUGCCUUCAGAUUAGCAAUUUCACUCAUAUAGAAAAUUAAUUUUUUAUAUAUACUAAUCAACACUAAAUUGAUUAUGUGUUGUAUGUUUAUAUGCUAAUCAACACGAAAUUAUAUUGAAUUAUUAACAUUCAUAUUCCUAAUAAAAAUUAUUUUCCAUUAGUAUUCAAAAUUUUCACUUAUAGAAAAUGCAUUUUACGUGAAUACUAGUUAUUGUGUAAAUUUGAAUGAUAGCAAAAAAUAAACCUAUUUGAAAACUGUAAGGGUGUGUUGGGAUAUUUUACAACUGUCGGAAUCUGGUAGGAUAUUGCACCAUUUGCCCAAUAUUUUUAGACGUACUCUAACCGGUAUUCAAGAUAAGUAAAAUUUACAAGCGUGGCAAAAUAAAAAAAAUUAAAUUCGUAAUUUGUAAACGAAUUUUCCUGACAUGUAUAGUAGAUGAAGUUGUUGACCCUUUCUUUGGAUUAUUUCAGCUCUGGUUGUUGGUCACCGAUGAGCCGAAGUCUUAUUUUAAUUCUAUUUAAACUCAUCAUAAGAUUCGUGGAGCACCUAACUAACUUAACUGACUGUGCAGAGCAUCUCAACAUGGCAAAUUUAACCAUCAUUCAAGUGAUGGGUUUAAUAAGACUGCUUUUGUUCUACCAAGUUCCUCCGCCUCUAAGCAGAAUUACUAUUGAAGGGCCAAAUGGAAAAUGAAAACGUGUGAACUCCAACAACCACCCCACAAAUUCAAUGACGAUGCUCGGAGAGGGUUAGGUUGGGCCUCUGAGAAAAAAAAAAAUUAUUUAGUUAAAAAGUUACCCUUAUUGAAACCUGUAUAAAAAUUUUAUAUUAAUUAGUUAUGUUGCCUCUUCAACUAUGAUCAAAUUUUUAUCUGAGCUCAUCAUUUAAUGAGUAAACAUGUAUUUUAAUGAUCUCAAUUAAUAUUUAGAACAAAUAUUUUAAGAAGUAAAGCUCAUUAUAUCCCCCAUUAUUAUGUAUCUCUGUAAUGUAUUGAAUUAGAAGAAAAAAAAAAUUCAACUCACUCAAAAAAAAAAAAAUGCUGGUAGCUUCGUAAUAAUUACUGUCUUGACUGCACCAGAUAAAGUUUUGUAAAAGAAUUCUGAUAUUUACCCCGGGUCAAACCCCGAAAAUAACUUAAACGGUGUCGUUUUGAUUUUUUUUUUUUUUAUACUCCAAAACGUUCUUACCAUUUCCGUUUCACUUACCAUUUAAUGCUCACAACUCAAAUAAAAAGCCCAGAAACUAGAAUCAAACUUUACAGAAACUAGAAUGCCCAGAAACGUUGUAUAGCAGGAACGUAUGUAAAGAGAGUAAACAAGAGGGAUUAAACAGAACAUACGUUUUCUUCACUUAUUAUUAGCAACAAACACCCUACACAACACACAUUUAAUGCUCACAACUCAAAUAAAAAGCCCAGAAACUAGAAUCAAACUUUACAGAAACUAGAAUCAAACAAUACACAUUUCAUUUCUUCAAGGUUAGGGAGAGACUCAGGGGAGUGAUUAAUUAACAAAAAUAAGAAUAAUAAUACCAACAUUUGUACAGGUCAAAUAAGAAUAAUAAUACUCAACCUAAUACCCAGUAUAUACAAACAAAUGCCCAGGCCAUCGUUCCUAUUUUGCCAUAACCUAAAGAGGAAAAAGCGAAGCACUACCUCAGGCUGUGAACUUUGCCGCUUCGUGAGUUUAAUUUCCCGAACAAGUUUCGGCUACCAGCGUUACCAGUGUUGACGGUGACCGUGGCUGUCAGCGUUGACGGUGACCGUUGGUGGAUCCCGAAUGCCUGGACCUUGGUCGAGGAAGGAAAGUAACGAAUUUUUUGAACAAACGAAGAAACGAAGCACCGAAGAGAUUUACGGUCAAACGGAACAAGACCAACUUGCUCUUCUAUCUAUGGCUUUCCCAGUUGAAACGAAGAAACGAAGAGGAAGAGGUUUAAUUCUUCUCAAAAUCGUCCAUCAGAAACGGCAACGUUUUGGAGUAUAAAAAAAGAAAAAAAAAUCAAAACGACGCCGUUUAAGUUAUUUUUCGAGUUUGACCCAGGACAAACAUCAUUUUCCUUUGUAAAAUAAUAAGUUCUCAUUAGUGGUUUUUAAUUUUUAAUUUUUUUUUCGGCACACCUGAUCAAGAAUUCUAUUUUGUUAACUAAUAAAUUGCAAAGCAUAAGUGUUGAACGGUACAAAAAAAUUUGAAAAAAAACACUUAAAACGUAGGGAAAUGAGAAAUAUAGAAAGAAAGGAAGAAAGUUAAGACAUGAAACUGAUCUGCCGUGAAAUUGAUAAUCAUGUUUCUAUUUCGUUAACUAAUCAAACGGAAAACUGGAACUGUAAACAAACAUUAACACGUGUGGACUCUGCUAGCUGCCCUACAAGUCUACAAUAAUAAUUGAGUACCUUUGAUUCAUCCUUCUACGAAUUUCUAGCUGUAUUGACCCCAACUGCUAAAGUUUUGUAAAAUUAAAAAAAUAAAAAAUAAAAACUGGAAUUUCAACAAAAUUCAAAACGUGAGAAAUUUAAUUUUUGGCCAUGUGGAACAAAAUGUAAAUUACGGAAAAAGUAUAAAUCUCAAUUGCUUAGUAUGGUUAGGUUUUGUGAGCAUCACUAGAAAGUGAAAACUAUGAAUGAUAGGGGUGAUGUUUGCAACAUGAAUAAACGAUGAACUGAAUCAAUUGAUGAUCGUAAUUAUAUAAUGAACAAAAUUUACAAAAUCAACAAAAGUUAAUAAAAAUUUAUUUUAAUAAUAAAAAAUAAUAAAACUUAUUAUUUAACGGCGCUCUAACCAUGGAGUGCCAUAAUCAUAUUCUUCUUUUAAGAAAAUUAUAACUUAUUUCAAAUAGCACCAUAACAUAAUUCUAGAUAUUUAAAAGAAAAGCAUUAUCCACCUGAAAUGACUUGAAGUCUAAAGAAAAAGAGAGAGUGGCUCCCCACAAUUUUCUUGUUUUCAGUAUAUUUUCUUUUUUUUUUCUUUUUAAAAUCUUUUGACGCAUACAUAAUCUACCCUUGUUCAUUAUCUCUAUUUUGCUCUGUUCAAGUCCCUUUUUUUCAAAUCUUAGUUUAAAUAAGAAAAUUGAAUAAAAGUACAUUUGUGUAAUUAAUUAGUAUCUGUUUUUUUUGGGGGGGGGGGGGGGGGGGGGGGGGGGGGAGGGGGAGGAUAUUUGGUGUAAUGUUUUGCUAUGUAAGACUCAGCUAUUAUUAAACAGUUCCUUAACCUGUUUCGCAGUUUAUUUGCUAUCUUUGUGGAUCUCAUAGGCGUUGCAGAAUUUAAUAAUUUUAUUCGUCAGAAGAAUAGGAUACUGACUUCAAUAAAUUUAAUUUAAACCAACUUUUAUUUACUCCAUCAAUUAAUUAAUGCCAUUUUGUUUUGAAAAAUUCAAUAAUUAAAUUCUCACGUUUUAUGUGUUUGAAGUUAAAUUAUUCAUUAACUAGAACUCUGUUCAAAAUUGACUGUCUUGUGGUUCCCAAAUGUAGUUGUAAUAUUGAAUGAAAGUAAAAACUUUCUAUGGCGAGUUUAAAUCUAAAUCUGAACAAUGAAUUUUGACUUUCUCAAUGCUAUUCUAAUUACAAAAAUUAUAUUGAUUGAUUUAUUGUUACAGUUACUACCCUUUGAAAAUGUAUGGAUUUAUUGUUUCCGUGACCAAAUUAUGCCUGCCUAACGCUGCAACUAUUAAAAAAACUAAUAUUUAAUGCAUGUGUUAAAAGAUUUAAAAUUUUAUGCAUUUAUUAAUUGUUAUAAUCUAAAAAAAUUAAUUAGUUCAGGACAAUCUGAGUUGGUGCAUCUGCAGAGCCUUUUUUUUUUCCCCCCUUAUUGACCAUAAUGAUCUAAGGGGUAUAAUACGACCUUGGUUCUUGGUAAAAAUUAAUUAGUUCAGGUCAAUCUUUUAUGCUCUGUUUUCUAGAAACAGAGUCCUAACUAAAUUGAUUGACUGUACAGUGCAUUUCAACAUAGCAUAUUUAACCGUUUUAACAGUUAUUUGAACCGUCUUCAGAGUUAACAUCAACAAACUCAUUCAUAUUGGUCCAAUCUUACGGCCGAUAUCAUAUUAUCAUAUGCUUAAUAAUGAACAAAUAGUCUUGGAUCAGUGUUUUGCAGCAAGAGCAACUCGACACAAUCUGGAUUCAACCUCCUCCUAUCUAACAGGGGAUUUCGAUUUGAGUUACUUUGUGCUCAAGCAAAUUCACAUCAUAGUUUUGAUUCUUUAGGUAUGAAUUCAUCACAUUACAUAUAUCAGAUUAAGUGUAACAAAAUUUUUAAUUUAUUGCGAAAAGAAUACGCGCUAAAAAAUUAUUUGACGACUAUUUGAUUACCAAAAGCUGCUGUUAGAGUGCACUAAAAAUCGCCAUUGGCAUAAAUAUUUUUUGAAAAUACUGCCAUUAGAUAUUUUUAUUAUUCAUACUUCAUUGCACAAGGCAGCACCUAGCUUCUAUUUCCAGCCCUAAUAAUGAUCCGCUGCUGGAAAAGAAUUUGUGCAGCAUGUACGCUCCUUGACCACAACAGCAAAGUUUAUUGAUGUUAUUUCAUAUUCUGCUGUGACUCAAAUAAAAAUUUACCAUGCCCUUUCGGCAUGGCUUGCCUUUCAGCAAAAAAAGAAAAAAAAAAAUCUUUCAAAUUGUGGAAGCAUGCUUACAUUAAUCAGCUCAGUAUGUUGUGUUUCAUGGGAUGCAAAAUUCUUUUUGUUUCUCAUGGAAGAAUUGACUUGUCUGGAUGUAUUAAUCUCAUAGAUUUUCCACAGAUUCGUGGGAAUAUAACAAAGCUAGACUUAAGUGAGACCCCAAUAGAAGAAGUUCCGUCAUCAAUAGAGUGCCUAGCUGAUCUUAAAACGUUGCGUUUGAGUAAUUGCAUGAGGCUGAAGAGGCUUUCCAUCAAGCAUUUGUAAAUUGAAAUCUCUUCUUGAGCUUUAUCUCUAUAACUGCUCAAACCUUGAAAGUUUUCAAGAAAUCAUGGAGAAAAUGGAACGUUUAAAGAUAUAAAUUUAAAAAGGACGGCCAAUUACAGAGCUGCAAUCUUGAUAGCCUUCGGGAUAACAUUAGAAAUUUAAAAUCUUUGAGGUACAUCUCUACUAAUGGAUCGGCCAUUAGUCCUCUGUCGCAGGUUCGAUUGUACUUAAAUAUCUAUCAUUUUCUCAAUGCAGAGGUUUGGUAUCAUUGCCUCCAAUAUUAUUUUCAGGUUUAGUUUAUCGAAUUUGUUACAGCUAAAUUUAAGGGACUCUGCUAUAAUGGAAAUUCCCCAAAAUAUUGUUUGUCAAUCCUCAUUGAAAAUUUUAAAUCUAAAGGCUUGUUUGUUAACUACUUGAAGUAUGUAAUUAAUGCUUUUUUUUGUGUAAUUUAUGUUUGAUUUUGAGAUAUUUACAUUUGAAUAAAAAAAAAAAACUUUUGUUACAUUUAUCUAAAUAAGAAAAAGGCUGAAUGAGAAGUAAAUAAUCUCCUUUUUUGUUUUAACUUAGAAAAACAUAAACGUUAACUAACUAUGUUUAAAAAAAAUUUUAUUUAUGAAAAGAAACCAAAUACUACUUAUAUUCAUAUAUCAAAAAAUGAAAAACAAACAUAUUAUUCAUACGUGCACGCACAAACUCAUUCAGACCUCAGCUACAUACAAAUCCAUUUAGAUUUCAAACAAAAAAAUAAAUACUUCCUAAGUGGGAAUAACUUUGAGAGUUGACUUGCAAAUGUCAAGCAACUUGCAGGGCUAGAAUAUCUUGACUUGAACGGUUGCAAUGAUUUCUCAUCAUUGAGAGUUUAUCAUUGUGCUUCAUCAUCAUCAUCAUCAUCAUUAUUAAUAAAAAGGUAAGCAAUUAAGAGUCAAAUUAAACCACUUGAAAAUCACUCAUCCACACUUUUGGGACAUCAUCUGCUCAUUAUUUUUAUUCCGUAUCUUCAUUGUUUUAUUUGGUAAUUAUUACCAUUAGUAAAUAAAGGGAUUAGUUGAUUAUUGUGAAGUAACUAAAUGGAGCUCACCCUUAAAUGUCGGCUUAUAUCAAGGAGGCGCCUUAGGGUUAAUAAAUCAACUAAUCCCAUAAUUUGUUGAUGUAGGGUCCUAACAAAUUAUUGCCGUAGAUCAGCACACAGCUCGAAAACAUAUUUGAUCCACACAGUGAAGAUGAUUCAAUAUUAAGCAUGUCAUAUAAUCUGGAGUUGGAUAUUGGACCAAUUUGAUGAUAAUGAGUUUCUUUCAAUCUCAAUCUUUAUCUUAUUCGCAACAUGACUAGCCAUUGCGUAAAUUCAAACUCUGAAAAUGAUAAGUUUGUGAUAAAGGAAUCUAUGAGUACAAUGGGAAAAUUACAUGAACUUAUGUUAUCAAUCAUUGUUUUUCCUUCUCGUGAUAGAAUUCAGUGCAACAUAAAACAUGAUAUAUUUGUACCUUACCAUGCCAUGUUGUGAACCUAGAAGCAAUGCAAAUUGCAAGGAACAUUAAGCUAUCCACUGUAUAUAACAAAUUCUUAUUAGCCCACAAUCUUGUGCCGCCACAUUGAUCAAGUAACACUAUUAUAUCAUUUCCAAAAUGGCAUAUAUAAUCUAAUGUUGAACAAACCAAAUUGGGAAUCAUCAUUCCUUACAUUAAGUUGACAUUCGUACCUGCUAGUCCAUGAGCAAAGUUGCAUAUAUUUCUACACAGGCCGCUCCCCUUAUCUCUCGGUUCCGACAGAGCUUUGUUUUCCCAUCACCAGCUUUGGAUUCAUUCGAUCACUGGUGCUCCGAGUUAGAACGGUCUACAAAGCUGCAUUUCGUUAGGCAAUCUAGUCUCUCCAUUCCUAGCAAAGUGACAUUGAUUCCCGUAUUUGUAAUUGCCUAAUUGGGGUUUUGGCAAUAGCCUGGCUUAAAAUUACCACCCAUUACUUUGUUCAAUGCCACUGGCAUCCUCUGAUUAGGAACAUUUUCACAAUUUUUGGUCCUGUUAGUCGAAUCACAUUCAACGGGAUAGUGAGGCAGUAUUUCACUAAAAGAUUCAAUUUGACUACUCAUAUUGAUGCACAUAUAAGAAUUUGAAAUCACUUUCUCUUGGAAUAUUUAAUGACCCUUGAUGAAAGUUCUUGAAUGGAAUUAUUUAAUUUGAUUUGAUUUCCAACAAAUUCAAGAAACCCCACAUAGUAGCUAAACAAAAAUCAACCAAUAAUACGCAAUGGGUUUCUUUCUUUUUGCCUUUGGAGGGCCAUGGAGAUCUGGAGUGGGCUGUAAGUAAUAGCCUUUAUCACUGGAAUGACAGAUUUGCAGAAGAUGAUACAUGGGGAAGGAUUGGGCGAGCAUAAAAAUGGGUUUACACUCUUGGAUUAGCGCCUCAUUUAGGUUGUAGGCUUGUAGCGAGAUAAAGAUAUUAAUUAAAGUUUUAUAAUCCCUGUUAUGAUUAAGGCUUCACUUAGUAUAGCAUAGAGCUUUUUGAGUUUUACCAGAAAAUUUUUUUAAAAUUAUUAUUUAUCGGAAAAAGGAGACUUACACUCCAUGGUCUAAGGAAAUAGUCACAAAGAUACUAAGUUUUCAAUAAAAGACACCAAUUUUUUUUUUUUUUUCAUAAUGCCCUUUGACUCCAUAAAUUUCUAAAAAAAUAACUCCAAAAUUUUAUAAUAAAUGAAAAUAUGGCAUUAAAAUAAAUGCAGUAAUAUAUACAUUUCAAAAUAAUUUUAAUAUUUAGAAAUAUUUUAAUAUUUUUCAAUCUAUUAAACCUAUUUUUAAGCUGUUGACCUAUUAAAGUAAUUCUUAAUAAUGAUAGAAACAUAAUAUUAAAAUAAAUUAAUUAAAAUUAAAAUUAAAAUUAAAAGUAUUUUGAAAUUAUAUAAAACUAAUUUUAAUAUUAUUAAUAGGUAGAUUUUUAAUUGUAAAAUCUAUUUAACAAAAGAUUUAUUCAAAAUCUUUAUGAUAUUACAAAUAUAUUGUUAAAAUAAAUAUAAUAAUUUAAAAUUUUAAUAUUAUUUUAAAUGUAAAAAAUAAUUUAAUAUUAUUAGUCUACUAGAUAGAUUAUGUUAUUUAUAUUAAAUUUGUUUUAAUUAAAAGUCUUUAAAGUUAAUUUUUUAAUUACUAUAGUGAAAGGGUAUUAUGGGCAAAAAAGUGUCUUGGUAUCCUUCUUUUAAAACUUGAGAGUUUUUGUGACUAUUUUCCUAAAUCUUAAAGGUAUAAGUGUCAUUAUCCCUUAUUUAUUUGGUUGUUUUGCUCUCGAGAGUUUUUAAAGCUCCAAAAUCUUUAAUCAGUACUUUUUUUUUUUAAGUAAAACUUUUAACAAAAAAUUAUUAUUCAUUUGAUUGUUUACGAGAGUUUUUAUUAGAAGUUAUAUAAAGUUCUUUAAUUUUUUUAUUGGUGCAGCUUUUUACAUGUAUAAUUUUUAUUUUUUAACAAAAAUUAAUUAAAUAAUAUUAGAAAUCCUAAUAUUUGAGUCCCAAUAUCAUAUAUCACUCAUUUUUUAGAUGACAGAUUUCAUAACUUAUAAAAUUAUUUAACUAACAUCCAAUUAGUGAAUGUUACUAUAGUGAAGACUCAAAUUGAAAUUUAAAUGUUGGGUUGCGUGACAUUUCUCUUAUUUGGUUGUUUAUGAGAGCUUUCUUGUACAAAAUAAUUUUUAUACAAAUUGAUAUAGUCUAAAUUCAUUAAUUAGAUUAAAAUACAAAAUAAUAAAAAUAAAUAAGUUUGUAUAAGAAUAAUUCAUUCUUUAAUCCAUCUAAUUGAAUUAUCCUAUGUCUAUUUAUACUAAAUAAGUUUAUAUAAAAAUUUAUAGUUUUGUUUUUAGAUGUGCAACUAAAUUUUUAGUCUCUUAUUCCUCGUAAAAUUCAAAUCUGAGUGGCUCAUCAAAUAAAAUUAUUUGAAACCAUACGGUAUGGUAGCUGGAACCCUUGAAACCAUCGAGGUCAUGAAAUUUACCAGCCAAAAGAGUUUUAAAUGUCUAUUUUAUAAACUUUUAAAAAAAUUUUUAUUUACCAUUUUACCAUCCGUAGUAAAGGUGUCGCAUCGACAUUGAACAGAUCAACAUAUCAGUCAUUUCUCAUUCAGCCAUUAGGAAUUUACGUUUGGGGUAUUUUUGUAAUUAUAAGAAGGUAAACUAAUCGCAAAACUCGUUUGGCUUGCACUUGCUCGCCUGUGCUCUGUGACUCUGUGUAUGGUUAUGGCGUUAUCAUUAUCAUCUUCUCCACUCCUACUGACGCCAGACCUUAACAGUUCAGAUUCCCUUUCUCGACUGUCAUACCCUACGCCCCGUCUCCGUGUCUCCGAUAAACAGUGCUCAAUUAAGGCCAUCAGAUUAUCCCGGACCCACAUUGAUCCAACGGCUCACAAUGACCGACAUCCUCUCUAUCUCCAUUUCAAGCUCCCUCUUCAACUGGCUUCUGCUUCUGUCGUACUCUUUCUUGGAUUCGGAGUCCGUAUUUGCUCAGCCGGUCCCGCACAGCUCCCUCUCACUCCAAUUGUCACCCAACAAGACCAAUUGCUUAAUCAAGGCACAGACCAAGAAGAGGAUGAGAAGUUGAAACAAGAAUUUGAGAAUUGGAAAUCGAAAACGUACGCAUUAACCGUGCCUUAAAGGGUUGCUUCUCUUCAGAAUUCAGUGCCUCAAUCUUGGGUUAAGGAUUUUAUGCGAAGUCAAGGAAAGAGAUUGAAGUUUCAGAUGAAUUUGUGUGCUAGCAUUGAUGGGAUCGUUAACAAUUUAUCUGUGCCCUUUAACAAAGUUAAGGCUAAGUCAGCUUCUUAUAUGGCUGCUGAUUUGGUUAGUAUUGGUGAUUCAUGGCUCAGCUUUGCGAUUAAAAAGAGAUUGAUUGAGCCAAUAGCUGGAGCUGAAGACCAAGAUUGGUUCAAAUGCUUAAGUCACAAAUGGAAGGUAACAUCUUUAUCUUUGACCCGAUAAUUUUUAUUGUCUUACAUUGAAAUUUGGUAAUGUAAUUUGUUCUCUAUCUGUAUUACCCUUUUUAGUCGUUUUAUUUAUUUGUUUGUUUGUUUAUUUGCUUUUAUUUGCACUAACGAAGUCUCGGGUAUAUCUACCCAGGAAUGAUGCAGGAGAAAUUGAUCCUCGAGGUGAAAUAUGGGCGGCACCAUACAGGUGGGGCACAAUGGUGAUAGCCUACAAGAAAAGUAAAUUUCGAAAGCAUAAUUUGGCUCCGAUUGAGGUAAUAACUGUCUUUAAACUCAUUUAGUUUUAUAUCAAACAAAAUCAAGGCUGCCUUUCUCUUCAAUAUUUUUUAUGAUAAUAUCUUUAGAAGCAUCUCAUUGACGGGUAAUAAUGGUGUCCCUGAAAGAGUCUAUAAACUCAAUGAUAUUAUCUUCUACAAAUGGAUCAUUAAACUUCUUUUUUGUAGUCAAAUGUACACUAAGAACAAUGAGAAGCUAUGCCACUGUAGCACGUAGUGAUGGCACUUAAUAAGUGAGUUGCUAGGAUGUGAACAAGAAAAAUUAAAUAUUGUCUCCUUGGGUAUGCUAGCUCGUAAGUCAGGGUUAAUAUUAGAGCUUAAGAUACUAUAACCAUGCGAAACUAUUGACUGCCAAUUAAAAUAUCCAUUAAAAUGUCUAGGGAGUUAUGAAGGUAGAGUUAUCUUCCAAUUUCUAAGGCCACAUAGUAGACAUCAUCCAGGAUCCUAGGAAAGUGCGGUUGAUCUCCUGCUUGAUGCAGUUAAUAAAUUUGGUCAAUGCGACUGAAACCUGCUAACUGACGUCGCAAUGCGACAUGAGCACUUCAAAAUGGGAUAGACAGUAGCACUAAAUUUUUCUUGCCUAAGAUUGAGCAAUUGGUCUAAAUACUAACCCCUAUUGUAAGUUGAUCAUUAUUUUUUCAAUUAUGUUCAUUUUGACCCAAAAGUUACACAAUCUUGAUCUGAAUAUUGUCACUGAACACUGUCAAUGUCGUUUAGCAUUGGCAACUAACUCGAGUUUAGUAAAACAAACAUACACACUGUCUCAUGUCUCACAAUUCAAAUUAUCAUCUGUACUGAUGGAGAAUUUUUCUGAUGUAUGAAGUAUGCUUUGAUAUGUAGGUUAAGCUUGGAGAAGAUAUCUCAAAAUAAAGAAUAUGGGGAGUGAAUGGGAAGAAUCUGUAGUCAAGUUUUGUCUCAAAAAUGGUCAAAAUUUAAAUGAAUGGACGGGGGAUCUUCAUUCUUUUUUCACUUCUUUAUACCGAGAUAUCUCUCAACCUUUAUAUAAUUCCCACUGGAUAUCUGCUUCUAAUAAUUAAAAUAAAAAUUUCAACCACACCAAUAAAUAAUCAUCUUAGAGUGAGACUAUCAGUACAACCCAAAAACAUAAUAAAACUGGUUUGGUUCUUUUUGUUGAUGUCUAAAUGUUGUUCAUUGUGACAUGUAGAAAUGAUGAGGUGAAGUUUCUUUGGUCAUCAAAUAGUAAGAUCUUGUUUGAAGUUAUUUUCUGAAAUGAACAGUCAAAUGGUAGUUUUUUUGGGCCAUUCGAUGGCUCUUUUCUUCCUCAUUUUAAACUUGUGCCUGCUUGGAACGGGAUGGAUUAGGCUGCAGAGUUAUAUAUUUUGACAUGCUCUGGUCAUUACACAAUUUGUUCAUACUGGAAAUUAGGAUGAGAAAUUUGUUGCUGCUGUUUUGAGAGAUCUGCAUUCUAUGCACAAACAUGAUUAAUGAAAAUGGAUUGUAGGACUGGAAAGAUCUGUGGCAGCCUGAGCUCGCAGGAAGGAUUUCAAUGGUUAAUUCUCCCCGAGAGGUUAUUGGUUCAGUUUUGAAGUAUAUGGGAGCAUCAUACAAUUCAGACGAUAUUGAUUCACAAGUUGCUGGUGGGAAGAUUGCUGUUCAGCAGAAUCUGGCAUUACUGGUAAACCAGGUACUCUUAAAGAAAUGAUAUCUGGUCAUUGCAUGUUAUUGCCUGACAACUGAUUUUGUUUGUAAAAGUCGGCUUCUUCAUACAUAUGAAUGCAUAUGUUAGUGUUUUCUUCUCCUUUUCAUACAUAUGAAUGCAUAUGUUAGUGUUGUCUUUUCCUUUUCAUACAUAUUAAUACAUAUGUAGAUUUCUUCAUCAUUGUAGCCUCCAUAGUUGAAGUUUCCUCAUUUGAAGCUGUUUAUGCAUAUGCUUUUUCCCUUCUCAAGUACAGGAAAUUGAAGAAUUAACCAGAUGUGAUAUGCUGAAAGAGUGAAGUUUUCUCCCUUGAAUGUGGCCUUGUGAUUUGUCUUGAAGGAAUAGGAUGAUCACUGGCAAGAACCCUAUCAAGGUAGAUUUUAUGGUGUUAACAUAUUUUUAAGCAUUUUGUUACAUCAGCAAUGAUGCUUUCAUAGCAUGAAAGUGUUUAAUUUAACUGACUGAUCUUGAUUAAUCAAUUAUGAGUUUUAAUCGAGUAAAAACUAAAUACAAUCAUCGUCAAAAAAUACUGAAAUUGGAUUUGGAAACACAAUCCACACAGGAAAUCACCCUUCGCGUGGGGAUGGAGAUGUUUACUGCAACGAUAUCGAAUAUGUGCACGGUGUUGUCCACUGAAACAAUGGAAAAAAUUAACAUAGGGGUAUUUAAAUAAUUAAACUCAGACCUCUUUGUAUAUGUUAUCCUAACUUUACUUACCCUUGUUUGUAAUUUUCACUUAACAGUUGAUGCCUAAACCAUUAAAACCAAAUGACCAUAGGGGUAUUUAAAGUAUGUAAAAAUAAACAAAAACACGUAAAAAAUUUCAAACAAUUAAUAAUUACACUCUAAAUGUACCACUUAACUCUUAAUAAUAGCCAUACUCUAAAACAAUCUACAACCUUUGAGGGGAGUAGCUAUGAGGAAAAUCCUUUUCUCAGUGGAUUGCCAUUGUCCGAGAGUUACAAUGAAAAGAGACCACCAGCAACUGAGUCGGAAGAUUCAACUAGCACUGAAAAAGAUGAUAAUUUAAUUGAUAUGGACAGUUUCCAUAUCAUUUUUAAAUCAUCCUAUGUAAUUGUGAUGUUAGGAAGCAUUAGUGAUCUGUAUGUGAACUAUUAUUGGCGCCAUUGGUGGUUUUAUCUUGUUAAAAUAUGGAUGACUUCCAGUUACUAUUUUGUAGUACACAAUUUUAUUCAAUUAACAUAUAGCUUAAAACCAUUAUGUAUGUGCUUUAUUAAGAUUCUCAAGUACCAAUCACGUUUGCUUAAGAAAUAAAAUUUUGCCAUUAAAAGCGUAGUAAUAUUUCCAAGCGCUUCGCAUUUAUCUCAACAUUUUGAAGGAAUUUUGAGAAAUACACGGGUCCAAAAGUCUAGUCAUCAUCCUUAUUUUUCUAUCGUUCUUUUGGGUUUGCAGUUGGUGGUGCUUUCAAUGUUUCCCUGAAACAUAGCAAAAGAACGUACAUAUUCUUGGUAUGAGUUGAUUUUUAGUGAUUAUCUAAUUGACUGGGGUGACAACAAUAGCACAACGUAGAAUUCAAUAAUAAAAUUCUCUUGUUUAAUUUGUUUUAAGUUAAAUUAUUAAUUACUUAAAAUUCUGUUUUAAGUCUUUAAUUUUAUGUCUUGGCGUAUAUGCAGAGUUGGAUUCUUGAGUGAGUUGGACAUGACCUACAAUGAGAGUGGCAGUAAACAAACAUUAAAACGUGUGGACUCCGGUGGCUGCCCUGCAAGUCCACAACUCUACAAGAAUAAUUUCUAGCCCCGUUGACUCCACUAACUAAAGUUUUUUAAAAUUUAAAAAGGUACAUAGAAUUCCACAACAAGCAAAACGUGUGGAAUUUAAUUUUUUGCCCGUGUGGAACAAAAUACAAUUUAGCAAAAAAGGACAAGAAAAAUGGUAAGAUUUCUAAAAUGAGUGGAAGGUGAUCCAUAUUUUACUGAAACGACUUGUCCCGAACAUCACGACGAUUGAUUUUUUUUAUUUUAUUUUUGAAUAACAUCAACUUUCAUAUUUUUCUAACCCCCAGAAUAUGCUCACGUUCAAGUCUAUCUUGCUAAUUUAAAAAAAGAAAAUCAAAUCAACACCAAAACAAUGAAAAGUAAAGCUUUUGAAUUUCAACUCCAGCUAGCAAACGUAUUCAGCGUUUUCAAAUUCUUCCCAUUGCAUAUCUUCUUCCUCCAUCAAUGCAAUAUUUGAACGAUUAUGAAAGAAUUUAAGAACAUAAAAAAUCUCCAAGGUUUAUACGGUAUAACAAAUUUAAAUUCUCAAUUACAAUAGAUAAUAAUUAAACUAAUAAUUUUUUAUGUAUUUAUUUUAGUAAUUUCACCUAAGAAUAAUAUUGUAAUUAGAAAAAAAAAAUCUAAUAAGUAGGGUGGUCUUAUACAAAAUCAACUGCAUACAUUUACGCAGAUGCAGAUAAUAAUUUUUAAUUCCUUUUUUUAAUAAGAAAAUUGUGUAUUGAGAUGAAUAAGAUGUUUAAUUUAAUUAAUUUCCUUACUUUCGUAUGCAUUGUCUUUCUAUCUAGAGAAAGCUUGGUGUUCAGAACGACAUGAAGUUGCGAGUUGUCGCCCAUGGCUGCUGAUUAAUAAUAAAACGAGACAAAUUAAUUGAACUCAGGCCCAUAUGUAUAUGUUAUCCUAACUUUACUUGCUCUUGUUUGUUAAUAUUCAUUCUUAGAGAGGUGAAAAAAAUUUCAAGUCUUGAAUAACGAGGAGUUAGUUGCCUCUAACUUUACUUGGCCUUCUAUAAUCUCAUUAAUAAUACAGAGAAUUAAUUAUCUUUUUAUUAUUAAACCAUCUUCAGGAAGAUUUUCCUCAAUUUGCUCCAGAAGAGUUGGAGCUGUGGUUCUGAUAAACCAAAGAAUUAGUAGCAAUAUUAAUAUUGCCCACCCAAGAAAUAUGAGUGAAUUAAAGUAUUGACAAGACUUCGCUCAGAGGAGCAUUUAAACCACUUCCUUAUCAAUUGCGGCAGCCGUCUAUUAACUAAAACGCCAAUCUAAUACAAGAAGAAAGAACAUUUACAGACUUCGCUCAGAGGUCUAUUAACUGCGGCAGCCGUCUAUUAACUAAAACGCCAAUCUAAUACAAGAAGAAAUAACAUUUCCUUUUGUUAAUAAUUUUAGUCUAAUUUCAAUUGUACUGUGACCGCUUCUCAAGGUAAGUGAAAGUUACAGAUGUGGCAAAAUAAAUAAUUAAAUUAACAAAAUGCUAACUAAUUUUCCUAAAUACCUAGGGUUGUACAAUUUCACCAACCUGGAAGAAUUGACAUUAAUGGACUGGUCUCCUCCCCAUAUAAUUAUAAUCCUUCUAGAAAGCUAAUUUUUAUUAAAUAUUUGCUUUUAAGUUCAUUUCAAUUAAAAAAUGUUUUAAGUUAUUGAGAUUCUGAAUUCCUUUCUUCCAAUAAUAAUGAAAACGUAUUAAAUUAGAAAUGAAAAAAUUGGUGUUGAUGAUUCAACCUAUUUGGAUAGAUUACGUGAAUAAAAUUGAAAUUUUGAUUUAAUUUUUGUUUAUUGUUAAUUUUCAGGCUUAGUUUCAAGAAUUUAGAAUAUUACUUUGUUCAUGGAUUCAACUCGUGAGUGUCAUAUUCUAGACUUAAUGGUACCAUUUUUGAUUGAGGACAAUGACUCUCACUCAUCUUGUAAAAAAAUAUUUUCAACUAUUUUAAUGACUUAAAAAUUGAUAGAUUUAUUGUUGUCAUGAACAAAUUAUUCAUUUUAAUGAAAUAUAAUUAAUGCAUCAAAGUUAUCAGGUUUAUGUUCUAUCUUAACGCACUUUUUUUUUUUUUUGGGUUAUCAGCUAUGCCCCUGAGGCAUUUUGUAGAGUAUAGCUUCUGCCUACCUUUGUUUCAUUUUUUUUAAUAAAAAAACAAGGGAAGGUUUUUCCGAGUCAUCCAUUAUUUGAUUACCGUCAAUCAAGAAAACGACCAAAUUAAUUUCUCUCCAAAAUUUCCAAAAGCUAGAAAAUUUUGUUAUUUGAAAAUAACAUCAUUAAUUAUAGAGUGGAUCAAACCGCGUUAUUGUCUUUCAUAAAAUUGAUGUCUUUUUAAGAGUCAAUACUUUUUAUUUACGCAAACCAGUCGACAUCAACUUAAACUUCCAUAUUUUUAUUAUUAUUAUGUUAUUUAUUUUAAUCCCCGAUUAUUUGAUUAGCCACUAUAUAUAUCAAGAAAGCGACAAAAUUUAUUUCUCAUGACUUCCAAAAACUAGAAAAACGACAUCAUUUAUUAUUUUUUUGCAACCCUAAUUGACAUCAACUUUAACUUUAUUAUGUCAUUAUUUCAAUCCCCCAUUAUGACCUUUCUAAUCCUCCAUUAUGCAUCUUUUAUAGUGCAAAUUUAAUUGCACAUAUAAAUAAAUUGAUUAUUGUUACUCCACCACCAAUAUUUCAAAUAGUCACUAGACCAUUUCUGCCUUUAAUUUUCCCUUAAGUUUAACUAUUGACUGCUUUUAGCAUCUUAAAAUAUACAUUUAUUCCUCGAUUAUGUGAUAAAAUUAUGAAAAUAUCCAUUUUAGCUUAAAUUAAUUGGAAUAACCAUAAACAUAACUUAAAUUAAUAGAACAAAAUUAUCAAGUGUAUGUUCUAUCUUACUUUUUGAAGAAUUUAACAUAUAUAAUGCUAUACUAUUAAUAAAUUUAUCAUUUAAUAUAUAUGUUCAAAUAUUUUAUAUAUUUAUUAAUUGUUAUAUACUCAAAGGAUGAAUGAUUUUUCAGGUCUACAUGAGUUGGUGCAUCUGCAAGACUCAAUUUUGACAACAAUGAUCUAAGGGGUAAUUUACCUUGGUGUUUGACAAAUUUAACCUCUCUUCAAGAUUUACUUCCAAUCUACUUACUGUAAAUAUCUCCUCAUCUCCUCUCAUUUAUAUGAUAACCCUUGAAGAUCUCACAUUUUCAAACAAUCAUAUUAGGGUUUUUAUUAUUAGCAUCAUUGUGUCAAUAAUAUAUGUUGCAGUAAGAUUUUUUCAGACCAGUUCCCUUCUUCAAAUAAUAAUGGAAAAGUAUCAAUUUAAAAAUAAAAUGAAUAUGCAUUGAUUAAUUAUAUCCUGAUUUUGAUCGAUUAUAGCGAGAGUUUCUCCAAAUCAACGCCCUGAUUCAAAUAAUACAGAAAAAAUAGUAAUUUAAUAGUAAAAUUAACAAGUGUUGAUUAUAUAUCCUAAGUUUCAUCGAUUAUGUGAUCAAAGUGGCAUUGUUGAUUUAUUUCUUGUUCAAUGUUAAUUUUUAGGUUAUCUAAAUUUCAAGGAUUUAAAAUCUUUGUUCAUGGAUUACACGCUUAUUAAUUUUUCUGCCAUUGACUGUCAUAUUCUAGACUUAAUGGUACCUUCCUUGAUCAAGGACAAUUACUCUCUGUUCUCCUCUUAUAAAUUCCUCUUCCAUUAACAUCACUAGGAGUAUGUUGAUCUCUCAGACGUUAACUUCAGUGGAGAGUUUUCAAAUUGAUUGUUAUAAAACAACACAAAAACUAGACACACUUGAUCUGUCUAAUAAUUCUCUUUCGGUAAAAUUGAUUAAUUUUAGGGGAAUAUUCUACCAACCUAUAUAAUUUUAGAUUGAUCAUUAAUUAAUUAGACGAAAAAAGUACUUGUGCUUUUGUGGCGACAAUUGAACCGGAGAAGUGAAGCUGUAAAGAUUUGGCAGUAGUAAAUUGUUAGAAAGACGUAAAGACAAGUUCCCAUUAUUAUAAUUUUUUCAAAAAACUUUUUUACAACACAUGCACCUGGCCAAAAAUUUUAUUUUGCUAACUAACAAUAAUUGAGUAGCUGACCGUAUUGACUCCACCUACUUGCUAAAGUAAAAAAAUAGAAAUAGAAUUUCCACAAAAUGGCAAACAUGUAAAAUCUAAUAUUUGGCCGUGUGGAACAAAAUACAAAUUAAAAAAAAAUAGAAAAAAGGCCUAAAGACUUUUAAAAUGUGUGGAAGUCUUUCGGCCCUUUUAUAAUGGUGUGUUUUUCAAAGGAACAAAUAAUAAUAAUGACACUUCUAUGGUUUGUUUUGAUAAUCACACAUAUACUCUUUAAUUUGAUAAAUGGUUACACAAAUUUUGUUUACAAAAAUAUAUUAUUCAUGUUCUGUAUUAUUUUUUAACAUCAUAUUUUUAUUUAUUAUAAUUGUUUAAAGUUAAUUGUUAGGUUGAUAUAUAAUAAAAACGUAUAAUCGUUCUCUUACUAAACACACAUACUCGUAGUUUAUGUUCAUUUGUCAUCUCAAUCUCUCUCAUUUAUCCUUUAUUGAUAGCUCAAAACGCGUCACUGUGGAAAAUUAUAGCAAAACGACAAAUAUGGAAAAAAUGGGAAGAAAAUUAAUGCAUGAAAGAGUUGCAGAAGACAACCAAAUAAGUCAACUAUACGCUAGUUGGGUGUAUAAAUUGUUAGAUGUGUUAUAAACAAAUAGCAUAGAGCCUUGGUUGGUUACAGAGAUAGAAAAAGUGUGUGUGUUUUUUAGAACUUAAAGAUAUAGUUAGAAUGGGUGGUUCAAAAUCAAAAAUGGUGAUAAUGUUUGUUCUGUUAUUAAUAAUAUUAGAAGGUGGGUGGAGUGAAGGAUGUUUGGAUCACGAGAGAUUUGCUCUUUUGCGACUCAAACAUCUCUUCGAUGAUACUGGUAAUUAUCCUUACGAUUGGGGAGAUGGUGAGGGAGCUACUGAUUGUUGUCUGUGGGAAAAGGUUGAGUGCAGCAACACCACAGGCCGAGUGAUAGCGCUAGACCUUAUUGAUACGUAUGGGGGAGAGCACAGCUGGUAUCUGAAUGCUUCUUUGUUUACUCCCUUCCAACAACUUGAGUCACUUGAUUUACAUGGCAAAAAUAUAGCCGGUUUUGUUGAGAAUGAAGGUGCUUCGUCUAAUUCAAUUAAAUUACAUUUCGCUCUCCUAAUUUAAGUCGAAUAUCAAGACUGAGCAGCUAUAUGCAUAUUCAUUCAAUUGACAAUUUUUACAUAUUUUUUAAAAUGUUUAAUUUUGAAAUUACACCAAACAUCAUAUGUGAUCUUUGUUUUGAUUUUACUUGCAGGUCUAGAAAGAUUGAGCAACUUGAAGAUGCUGGAUUUAAGUGAAAACUUGUUCAACAAUAGCAUCUUAUCAUCUCUAGCUCGUCUUUCAUCAUUAACAUCAUUAGAUUUAUCUGAUAAUAGAUUGGAAGGAAGUAUUAAUGUUAAAGGUACGUAAUUAAAACAUCAUCUCUUCUCCCAACUCUUUCAUUAACAUGCUAAAAUAAGAUUCAAGGCUUUGAAUUCAAUUUUUUUAUGAGUAAAUAUUAGAAAAAUAGUUUUAAGCAAUUCAUAAAUACAAUUUUCAAUGUUUCUCAUAAUUACUCUAACUGUGAAGCAAAUACCCCAUGACUAAUUUAUCAUUUUGUCCAGUUAAAAAUGAUAAAAUUUAUCAUUUGUUUAUAUUGAUUUAUUAACUCUAUUUUAAGUCUUAAGUCUUGGCGUGUUGGCAUGUUUGCAGAAUUUGAUUCCUUGAGCAACUUAGAGGAGUUGGACAUGCGCGGUAAUGAAAUAGACAAUUUCGAGGUUCCUCAAGGUAAACAAUUAAAAUAUUAUUCAAUUACAUUAAUUUAAUUCGUUUGAUUAGGGAAGGCCCAAAAUGUACAAAAACAUAAUUAAAAAAAAAUAAAGAAACAGAGAAUUCAUAUUAUUUCAAAAAACAAAAGGUAAUACUAUUAUUUCAAAAAAAGAAUGUAAUAAAGAUUUGAUUCCGGUUCUUUAAUCUUUAUAGCAAUUGAAAAACAAUGUUGCUCUUUUCCUAAAGCAUAAAAUAUGAAAUGAGUCAUAAUUGAAUUAGUCAUUUAUUUUGUUUAGAUCUAAAUUUAGACAAUAAAUUUUGAUUUUUUUUUCAAUCCUAUCCUUAUUAUUAUUGUUAAACAGGUUACAGAGGUUUGAGGAAGUUGAAAAGCCUCUAUCUAUCGGAAGUUAAAAUUAGAGAUGGAAGCAAGUUGUUACAGUCAAUUGGAUCAUUCCCAUCCCUCAACACUCUUUACCUUUCGUCUAAUAAUUUUACGGAAACAGUGACAACUACUACUCAAGGUAAGUAAAAGGUAUAGAUGUGGCCAAAUUUAUAAACAAAUUGUUAAUUAAUUAAUUUUUCCGUAUUAUUAAUUAAGCUAAAUUUGUUGCUCCUUCCUUCUAAAUGUACACAGAGUUGCACAAUUUCACCAACUUGGAAUAUUUGACAUUGGACUCUUCCUCUAUCCAUAUAAGCCUUCUGCAAAGCAUUGCAUCAUUAUUCCCUUCAUUAAAAAAUCUGUCGAUGUCUAGUUAUGAAGUCAAUGGCGUCCUACGUGGUCAAGGUAAAAGAAAAGUGUUGAUUGUGAACUCGCUCAAUGGUGUCCUACGUGUUCAACAUUUUUAUUUAUUUAUUUUAUUGUUUAAUGUUUCUGCUAGGUUUUCCUCAUUUCAAGAGUUUGGAACUUUUGGAUAUGGAGUGCACGCGCAUUGCACUCAACACCAGCUUUCUUCAAAUCAUCAGUGAAUCGAUGCCUUCUCUUAAGUACUUAUCACUGUCAGAUUCUACUCUUGGCACUAACAGCAGCAAGAUUCUUGAUCGAGGUUAAUCAGAUGCUCCCACCCUCCCUUCUUAAUCUAUAAUAUUAAUUUUCAAUUAAAUAUUUAAUUACACAAACGAAUCACUUAUUAUAAAAGAAUAAUACGCAUUCA
rnacentral:lncRNA from 1 species